GAUGAAGAACGUAGCGAAAUGCGAUAAGUAAUGUGAAUUGCAGAAUUCUGUGAAUCAUCGAAUCUUUGAACGCACCUUGCGCCUUUUGGUAUUCCGAAAGGCACACCUGUUUGAGCGUCAUGAAUACCUCAAUCUCCAUCUUUUCUUCGGAUUGAUGGGUGACUUGGAUGUUGAGCCCUGCUGGUAUGCUAUAUCAGCUGGCUUUAAACUUAUUAGCCGGCUCUGUACUGGAUCGGUUUGACUCGACGUGAUAAUAUUAUCGUUGAGGAUGCAUGUCUCAUGCAGCCGGAAAGUAUCAAAGCAGCUUCUAGCUUGCCUUUAGUGCACUUUUACAUUUUAGACCUCAGAUCAGGUGGGACUACCCGCUGAACUUAAGCAUAUCAAUAAGCGGAGGA
rnacentral:misc_RNA from 1 species